CGCGGCCUAUCAGCUUGUUGGUGAGGUAAUGGCUCACCAAGGCGACGACGGGUAGCCGGCCUGAGAGGGCGACCGGCCACACUGGGACUGAGACACGGCCCAGACUUCUACGGGAGGCAGCAGUGGGGAAUACUACACAAUGGGCGAAAGCCUGAUGCAGCGACGCCGCGUGAGGGAUGACGGCCUUCGGGUUGUAAACCUCUUUCAGCAGGGAAGAAGCGAAAGUGACGGUACCUGCAGAAGAAGCGCCGGCUAACUACGUGCCAGCAGCCGCGGUAAUACGUAGGGCGCAAGCGUUGUCCGGAAUUAUUGGGCGUAAAGAGCUCGUAGGCGGCUUGUCACGUCGGGUGUGAAAGCCCGGGGCUUAACCCCGGGUCUGCAUUCGAUACGGGCUAGCUAGAGUGUGGUAGGGGAGAUCGGAAUUCCUGGUGUAGCGGUGAAAUGCGCAGAUAUCAGGAGGAACACCGGUGGCGAAGGCGGAUCUCUGGGCCAUUACUGACGCUGAGGAGCGAAAGCGUGGGGAGCGAACAGGAUUAGAUACCCUGGUAGUCCACGCCGUAAACGGUGGGAACUAGGUGUUGGCGACAUUCCACGUCGUCGGUGCCGCAGCUAACGCAUUAAGUUCCCCGCCUGGGGAGUACGG
rnacentral:rRNA from 1 species